rnacentral:lncRNA from 1 species
UUCAACCAGCCAGAUUCAAAAUCCUUGCUUAGCACCCUGGGUAUUAGUUGUAGAUGCAAAUAAUAUAAGAAAUAAAAAAAUGAGACAUAACUAUGGAUGCAGGAGAGAUUUAGGGAAUAUUAUAGACAACUUGAUGCCAAUAAAUUUUAAAUAUUGAAUGCAAUGGAUAAAUAUCAAGAACAUUUUAGGUUACUUCAGGAAUAGAAACCUGAUGGUCUUUUAAUCAUUAAAGAAAUGAAAUCAAUUCUUCAAAAGCUGACUAUAAAGAAAAUAUCAACUCUUGUAAACUUAUUUCUAAACUACCAUAGAAAAUUCCCUGUCUUCUAAGUGUUGAGCCUGUGUAAACUGGAAUUUUCUGUUCCUUUAAUGUUUGGUAGAACUCAUUUAUAAAACCAUCAAGAGUUGAUAUUUUAAAAAAUGCAAUCCUGAAAAUAUAAGAUCAAUCAAAAAGAAGGCAAGAAACAAGGAACAAUGGAAUAAAGAAUAGGAUGAUAGAUUGAAAAGCACACAUGAUGGUAAAGUUAAAACCAACAAUAUUAACAAUUAACUUAAAUAAAAAUGGACUAAACAUUGCAAUUAUAAGGCAGAGACUUUCAGACUGUUACAUUUUUUGUCUGCAACAGUCACUCUGCUUCUUUUUUCCCUAUGAUAUUCCCUUUUUUGAAGAGCCAGGACAACUACUUAAGAUACUUAAGAUGUAGGUAAAGUUUAUUUGAUUAUAGCUUUAAUUUGAUAAAAUUUUAAUACUCUUUUUUUUUCUUUUUUGUGGUGCCAGGGAUUGAACACAGGGCCUUUUGCAUACCAGGCAAGCACUCUACCAACUGAGCUAUAUUCCCAGCUUGAUACAAUUUUAAUACGAUGAAUAACUGCUAUUUUGUAGCAACAUAUUUAGGCAUGAAUGCUAAAUAGCUCACAUAAAUGACAGUAAUUACUAUUAUUUUACUUAACCAAUUUGAUUUGUCAUGAUUUAUUGGUCAUGAUUUAAGACCCAAUUAUAUGCUGUUUACAAGAGAUAAACUCUAAAUAUAAAGAUACAGAAUAAAUGUAAAAGGAAGGAGAAAAGAUAUUCUAAGCAAAAAACUAAUCAUUAGAAAUCUUGAGUGACUCUAAUAAUAUCAGACAAAGUAAUCUUCAGGACAAAGAGUCUUCAGGACCAGUAAUGAUGAUAAAAAUACUAGUUCAUAAAAAGACAUAAAAACUGAAAUAUCUAUUUAUAACUAAUAAUGGAGAUAUUAUGAACCAGAAACUUAAUUCAUUUUAUAGUCUUGCCA